AGCGAACGCUGGCGGCAGGCCUAACACAUGCAAGUCGAACGAACUCUUCGGAGUUAGUGGCGGACGGGUGAGUAACACGUGGGAACGUGCCUUUAGGUUCGGAAUAACUCAGGGAAACUUGUGCUAAUACCGAAUGUGCCCUUCGGGGGAAAGAUUUAUCGCCUUUAGAGCGGCCCGCGUCUGAUUAGCUAGUUGGUGAGGUAAAGGCUCACCAAGGCGACGAUCAGUAGCUGGUCUGAGAGGAUGAUCAGCCACAUUGGGACUGAGACACGGCCCAAACUCCUACGGGAGGCAGCAGUGGGGAAUCUUGCGCAAUGGGCGAAAGCCUGACGCAGCCAUGCCGCAUGAAUGAUGAAGGUCUUAGGAUUGUAAAAUUCUUUCACCGGGGACGAUAAUGACGGUACCCGGAGAAGAAGCCCCGGCUAACUUCGUACCAGCCGCCGCAGUAA
rnacentral:rRNA from 1 species